rnacentral:lncRNA from 1 species
AUAAUGCAAAGUGGGCAAAAAGAACAUGUAAAGAGUAAAGAACAAUGAUUGCUAGAGUUAGCAAAAGUAUAAGAAACGUAAAGAACGUGAUUGCUAGAGUUAGCAAAAGUAAAAGAAAUGUAAAGAACGAUGAUUGCUAGAGUAGCAACAUAAAGUGAUGUAAAGAACACUAGAGUUAGUGUAAAGUCAAGAUUGAACAUACAAUCCUUUGAGUUAAGGAUUCGAUCAUACUUGCUAUGAGUUCCGUGCUCGAGGGCGGUCGCUCCCCCUCGGGCGAUGCGCUCCGGAGUUUUUGCAUCACGGGUUGGAGUAAACCCGAGGACGGUCUUAGCGGGAGGAAGCUGAGGGCCCGCGAUGAUGGACUUAAUGUGAAGCAAGUUAAUGUGGCGAAACCCCCGGGUUAGCCUUGAGAUUAAAGAACAAAGUGCAAAGAACAAAGAACAAAGACAAAGUGUAAAGUGCAAAGAACAAAAGAACUUGCAUAAUCUGCAUAUGUUAAUG